UACGGAGGGGACUAGCGUUGUUCGGAAUUACUGGGCGUAAAGCGCACGUAGGCGGAUUUGUAAGUCAGGGGUGAAAUCCCGGGGCUCAACCUCGGAACUGCCUUUGAUACUGCAAAUCUCGAGUCCGAUAGAGGUGGGUGGAAUUCCUAGUGUAGAGGUGAAAUUCGUAGAUAUUCGGAAGAACACCAGUGGCGAAGGCGGCUCACUGGACUGGUAUUGACGCUGAGGUGCGAAAGCGUGGGGAGCAAACGGG
rnacentral:rRNA from 1 species